rnacentral:snoRNA from 1 species
AUCCUUUUGUAGUUCAUAAGUGUGAUGAUUGGGUGUUCACGCUCUAGUGUGAGAUGUGCCUCCCACAAACCUUGUUACGACAUCGGCACAUUACCCGUCUGACG